AGAAUCAACGCUGGCGGCGUGCCUAACACAUGCAAGUCGAACGGAGAAGUGGAGCAAUCCAUGAGUAAAGUGGCGCACGGGUGAGUAACACGUGACUAACCUACCCUUGAGUGGGGAAUAACCUAGGGAAACCUGGGCUAAUACCGCAUAACACCUACGGGUCAAAGGAGCAAUUCGCUUAAGGAGGGGUCGCGGCAGAUUAGCUAGUUGGCGGGGUAAUGGCCCACCAAGGCAGUGAUCUGUA
rnacentral:rRNA from 1 species